ACGGUUGACCUCGGAUCAGGUAGGAAUACCCGCUGAACUUAAGCAUAUCAAUAAGCGGAGGAG
rnacentral:rRNA from 1 species